AAAAGGCGGCGUAAGCUGUCGCUAAAGGAUGGACCCGCGGUGCAUUAGCUAGUUGGUAAGGUAACGGCUUACCAAGGCGACGAUGCAUAGCCGAGUUGAGAGACUGAUCGGCCACAUUGGGACUGAGACACGGCCCAAACUCCUACGGGAGGCAGCAGUAGGGAAUCUUCCACAAUGGGCGAAAGCCUGAUGGAGCAACGCCGCGUGAGUGAAGAAGGUUUUCGGAUCGUAAAGCUCUGUUGUUGGUGAAGAAGGAUAGAGGUAGUAACUGGCCCCUAUUUGACGGUAAUCAACCAGAAAGUCACGGCUAACUACGUGCCAGCAGCCGCGGUAAUACGUAGGUGGCAAGCGUUGUCCGGAUUUAUUGGGCGUAAAGCGAGCGCAGGCGGAAAGAUAAGUCUGAUGUGAAAGCCCCCGGCUUAACCGAGGAAUUGCAUCGGAAACUGUGUUUCUUGAGUGCAGAAGAGGAGAGUGGAACUCCAUGUGUAGCGGUGGAAUGCGUAGAUAUAUGGAAGAACACCAGUGGCGAAGGCGGCUCUCUGGUCUGUAACUGACGCUGAGGCUCGAAAGCGUGGGUAGCGAACAGGAUUAGGUACCCUGGUAGUCCAUGCCGUAAACGAUGAGUGCUAAGUGUUGGGAGGUUUCCGCCUCUCA
rnacentral:rRNA from 1 species